rnacentral:rRNA from 1 species
UACGGAGGGGCUAGCGUUGUUCGGAAUUACUGGGCGUAAAGCGCACGUAGGCGGCUUUGUAAGUUAGAGGUGAAAGCCCAGGGCUUAACCCUGGAAUUGCCUUUAAGACUGCAUCGCUCGAAUUGUGGAGAGGUGAGUGGAAUUCCGAGUGUAGAGGUGAAAUUCGUAGAUAUUCGGAAGGAACACCACGUGGCGAAGGCGACUCACUGGACACA